rnacentral:ncRNA from 1 species
ACAACUGGGGUGCUGCAAAAUAAGGAUUGCGGCUGAGAUAAUACCCAUCGUACCUGAUCCGGGUAAUGCCGGCGUAGGAAAUUACA